CCUACGGGAGGCUGCAGUGGGGAAUAUUGCACAAUGGGGGGAACCCUGAUGCAGCAAUGCCGCGUGGGUGAAGAAGCACUCCGGUGCGUAAAGCCCUGUCAGCAGGGAAGAAAAUGACAGUACCUGGACAAGAAGCCCCGGCUAACUACGUGCCAGCAGCCGCGGUAAUACGUAGGGGGCAAGCGUUAUCCGGAUUUACUGGGUGUAAAGGGGGCGCAGGCGGCGUGGCAAGUCAGAUGUGAAAACCCGGGGCACAACCCCGGGAGUGCAUUGGAAACUGCCAUGCUGGAGUGCCGGAGAGGAGAGUGGAAUUCCCGGUGUAGCGGUGGAAUGUGUAGAUAUUAGGAGGAACACCAGUGGCGGAGGCGGGUUACUGGACGGUAACUGACGCUGAGGCUCGAAAGCGUGGGGAGCAAACAGGAUUAGAUACCCGGGUAGUC
rnacentral:rRNA from 1 species